rnacentral:rRNA from 1 species
AGUGAACGCUGGCGGUAGGCCUAACACAUGCAAGUCGAACGACAGCACAGUAAGAGCUUGCUCUUACGGGUAGCGAGUGGCGGGCGGGUGAGACAUACAUCGGAAUCUACUUUUUCGGGGGGGACAACGGAGGGAAACUUACGCUAAUACCGCAUACGACCUACGGGUGAAAGCAGGGGAUCUUCGGACCUUGCGCGAUUGAAUGAGCCGAUGUCGGAUUAGCUAGUUGGCGGGGUAAAGGCCCACCAAGGCGACGAUCCGUAGCUGGCCUGAGAGGAUGAUCAGCCACACUGGAACUGAGACACGGUCCAGACUCCUACGGGAGGCAGCAGUGGGGAAUAUUGCACAAUGGGCGAAAGCUUGAUCCAGCCACGCCGCGUGGGUGAAGAAGGUCUUCGGGUUGUAAAGCUCUGUUGUUGGGAAAGAAAAGAAGCAGAUGAAUCUCCGCAUGUUCUGACGGUACCCAAAGAAUAAGCACCGGCUAACUUCGUG